rnacentral:rRNA from 1 species
AUGAGCGAUGGGGUGACGCAGUAGGGUAGUGACGCGGACUGAUGGAUGUCCGUCUAAGCAGUGAGGCUGAUGUGUAGGCAAAUCCGCACAUCGUAAGGCUGGGCUGUGAUGGGGAGCGAAAAUUAUAGUAGCGAAGGUCAUGAUCUCAGACUGCCAAGAAAAGCCUCUAGCCAGGAGAAGGUGCCCGUACCGCAAACCGACACAGGUAGGCGAGAAGAGAAUUCUAAGGCGCGCGGAAGAACUCUCGUUAAGG